rnacentral:rRNA from 1 species
UACGGGGGGGGCAAGCGUUGUUCGGAAUUACUGGGCGUAAAGGGCUCGUAGGUGGCCAACUAAGUCAGACGUGAAAUCCCUCGGCUUAACCGGGGAACUGCGUCUGAUACUGGAUGGCUUGAGUUUGGGAGAGGGACGCGGAAUUCCAGGUGUAGCGGUGAAAUGCGUAGAUAUCGGGAGGAACACCGGUGGCGAAGGCGGUCUUCUGGACGGUGACUGACGCUGAGGCGCGAAAGCGUGGGGAGCAAACGGG